GGUACAUCAUGGGAGUUGGGCUGCUGUGGUGUACUCAAGUGAUGGGGGCUGAUGGGCACCCAAUAGAGCUCCUCCAGGGAUGCUAAUUCCAUUUUUCUCUGUGUCCUCAGGACUGAACAAACAGUUUUUUGUGUUCCUUGAUGCUGGAGAGGCUGUGAUUGGAUACAGGGAUGUGUUUCAGCUGAAGAACCCUCAAAGGACCCGGUGUUCUCACUAGAUCCUGGAAGCAGCUUUUCAGCCUCCCCAUAGCUCCGCGCAGCCAGGAAGUGAAGCAUGCACUAGGUUUUUCCCUGAGCUGGGUGGGGGCUGUCAGGCCCUGUGUAUGAUGCGGGAGAGUGACGUGAUGAGGAUAGAAGACAAUGAGAUGCGUACAUGGGGACCUGGGAGAGCGGCUGAUCCAAAUCUACUCUGAAGACUUUCGAUUUCAGUGGAAAUAAUGAGUGGAGAUGAAUAAUGAAGACUUCGCCCUUCCCACGAGUUCUAUUUCAUAUAGUUUCUCUGGCACCUCACCAGGAGAAUACUAAACAGGAGGUUUGGUCGUGCAGUUUUAAUAAGGCCAACAAAGGAAGAAGAAGG